GUGAGGCGGGUGAAACGGAGGCCGCUGUAUGUGCUCUUUCUUCAGCCACAACCCCGUGGAAGAGCAUGUUUGGUGGUAGCACGUUUCUAGGUCUCUCUUUCCGAGAUAGGCGUAGUGUAUGCAAGAGUCUACUCUUCUCGCCGCCAUGACCCUGCCUUGUGUUCUUUGACGUUGAAGCUUCUAGUCUGCAGAGGCACUGGCUCGUUUCCAAAUCCUAGUGAGCUGCCUACGUAGGAAGCACUUUUAAGUCAUCACAUGUGCUCUCCUGAUAUGAAGGCUGUUCCAAAAAGGAAUCCAGCGGUCGGCUUUCUGACUGGUUGACAUCUGUUCUGCUGUCCUUGGGGCUGAGGUAGUAGAUUGAAUAGUUGUGGAGCCCUGCGCUCUCUCAUUGAGAUAACUAUACAAUCUACUGUCUUUCCUAAGGCGACAGCCAAAACAUCCACAAACAAGUGCCUGCAUUCAUCCAGUGAGGAUGAUCGCUCACGUUACAGGGUUGGGAUUGACGUGUCAUGUUGACUUCAUACGUACGCAAGCGUGUCAGGCGAUGGGAUUGCCCUUUGGUGUCUUGACAGGGUGAGGUAGUAGGUUGUAUAGUUUGGUGGGAGGGAUCAAACCCUGUUCAGGUGAUAACUAUACAGUCUAUUGCCUUCCUUGUUGUGCCAGCUGUCUGCCAGCUAGUGGAAAAUCCCUGGAGCUUAAAUAUUGCUUAAACUUUACGGCCUGCUUCACACCGCAUGAACUAUGAAUAUAACCACAGCGUGCAAACAGCGUGCUUAUUUCAGCAUCCAUGUUUUCAGGAGGCAACAUUUACGCUGUCUGCAUACACAGCAACGGAUACUGUAGUCGUCGCAAAAUAUGGCGAAAAUGCCCUACAGACCUAUUUAUCAACAGUAAUUUGCGGCAUAGCCUUUUUUGAAGCAGGAAAAGACUGAAUCAAGACGAGUUAAGCAGUUUAUCCGCACUUAAUGCUUUUUGGUUAUGUCCUGCAUAGAUUAAUAAAUAUUUGGUUGUAAAGGUCAUGUAAUUUACACUAUGAUUUAAAAGGUUUGGGGACAGUACGUUUUUUAAAUGAAUUUCAGCUAAGAUGCAUUUUAACAAUCCAAACUUACAAAUGAUUUCUCUAACAUAAAUGCCGUCCCGUUCUUUUUCUGCUCGUCUGAGAAUCCUGAAGCAUGUAGAAACUAUUGUCUAUCAGAAAUUGCUAGUAAGUUUCACAGUUAGAUACAAAAGAAAUCUCACAUUCAAUUAAACGUACAAUUUUGCAGUAGAAAUAUUAUAUAAUGCGCUCCAAUAGUGUCCGUUUGAUUCGUAACUUUGCAAAAAUCCUUCCUUUUUUACAAUCGAUAAUAAGAAGGAAUGUCUUUUGCACAACAUAUAUUAACAUGAUUUCUGAAGGAACGUGUCACGCUGAAGACUGGGGUGAUGAUGCUGAGAAUCCAGCAGCAGAAGAGCUGCGAGUGUGAAAGCACAAUGAGACUCUUACGGCUUUGUGUGUGUGUGUGUGUGUUUUGUGAACUCUUUACCUAACAAGCCUGAACAACAUCCCCUGCCAGCUUAACUUGCUGAUCUAGUAUUACAUAUGAAGAGAAAAAUCUGAUUAAAAGGGAUUUGCAGAGCUCAGAUUUAUGGCUUAAUCAAUAAUUUAGCUUUUCUGUUGGCUCGUGAUCAAACAGGAUUUUCACACAUCAUGACAGGAAGUUCAGUUUCAAUCAGACAAUGCAUGUGGCAUUUCGAUGAAUGAAAAAUAGUAUGCAUAAUAUGGUUUGGUCUAUGAAUAAAAUAGCUUUGUUCAAUAA